rnacentral:misc_RNA from 1 species
GAUGAAGAACGUAGCGAAAUGCGAUAAGUAAUGUGAAUUGCAGAAUUCAGUGAAUCAUCGAAUCUUUGAACGCACCUUGCGCUCCUUGGUAUUCUGAGGAGCAUGCCUGUUUGAGUAUCAUAAAAUUGUCAACUGUGUCACUUUUAUAGUGAUUUACAGAUUGGAUAUGGGAGUUUUUGCAGACCUAGUUUGUCAGCUCUCCUGAAACACAUUAGCAGUGCCUUGUUGGUCCUUGGGUGUGAUAAUUUAUCUAUGCCUUGACGUGUACCUUCAUGAAGGUUGUGCUGCUUCCAAUGGUCUUUGGACACAUUUAUUGAAGAUUUGAUCUCAAAUCAGGCAGGACUACCCGCUGAACUUAAGCAUAUCAAUAAGCGGAGGA